CCACACUUCUCACUCUCUAUCCUUAUCAUCAUCUUCUCCAAAGAGAAGAAAAACACCACCCAUGCUCCUCACCUUUCUGUUUUUUCCACACCCACUGCCCCUUUUUCUUUCUUCUUCCCCCAUACCUCUGUUUUCUACUUUCAUAUUUUCAAAAAAAAGAAGACCAGAGACGAUUGCCUUCAUUUUCUUCUCCUUUCACUUCACACAAGAUCCGCCUACCAUCAUCAUCGAAAAUUUCGCUCAAACAAUUGGUCAAAGACAAAGAAAAGAAGAAGCCAUAGAAGGGAAGUUGUUCGGAAGAUUGCAAAGAAAACAAUGCAGUUCUGGAGUUUUUUUUGGUUUAUUAACCUUGAACACAUAGAGAUAAUGAACAGAAUUGUAACCAUACCUUAAUGUUUUUAUUUUUCAAGUUUACAGUUUUGCGA